rnacentral:rRNA from 1 species
CACGUAGGGGGCGAGCGUUGUCCGGAUUUAUUGGGCGUAAAGAGCUCGUAGGCGGCUCAGUAAGUCGGGUGUGAAAACUCCAGGCUCAACCUGGAGACGCCACCUGAUACUGCUGUGGCUAGAGUCCGGUAGGGGAGCAUGGAAUUCCUGGUGUAGCGGUGAAAUGCGCAGAUAUCAGGAGGAACACCAGUGGCGAAGGCAGGUCUCUGGGCAUUAACUGACGCUGAGGAGCGAAAGCAUGGGGAGCGAACAGG